rnacentral:rRNA from 1 species
GAGAGGAACUUGUUCCUCGAGUCGUUGAUUUCACACUGCCGAGAAAAGCCUCUAGCUAGAAUAACGGUGCCCGUACCGCAAACCGACACAGGUAGUCAAGAUGAGAAUUCUAAGGUGAGCGAGCGAACUCUCGUUAAGGAACUCGGCAAAAUGACCCCGUAACUUCGGGAGAAGGGGUGCUCUUUGAGGUUCACGCUUCGAAGAGCCGCAGUGAAUAGGCCCAAGCGACUGUUUAUCAAAAACACAGGUCUCUGCUAAACCGUAAGGUGACGUAUAGGGGCUGACGCCUGCCCGGUGCUGGAAGGUUAAGAGGAGUGGUUAGCGCAAGCGAAGCUACGAAUCGAAGCCCCAGUAAACGGCGGCCGUAACUAUAACGGUCCUAAGGUAGCGAAAUUCCUUGUCGGGUAAGUUCCGACCCGCACGAAAGGCGUAACGAUUUGGGCACUGUCUCAACGAGAGACUCGGUGAAAUCAUAGUACCGGUGAAGAUGCCGGUUACCCGCGACAGGACGGAAAGACCCCGUGGAGCUUUACUGUAGCCUGAUAUUGAAAUUCGGUACAGUUUGUACAGGAUAGGUAGGAGCCUUAGAAGCGUGAGCGCUAGCUUACGUGGAGGCAUUGGUGGGAUACUACCCUAAUUGUAUUGGAUUUCUAACCCGCAGCACUUAUCGUGCUGGGAGACAGUGUCAGGCGGGCAGUUUGACUGGGGCGGUCGCCUCCUAAAGAGUAACGGAGGCGCUCAAAGGUUCCCUCAGAAUGGUUGGAAAUCAUUCAUAGAGUGUAAAGGCAUAAGGGAGCUUGACUGCGAGACCUACAAGUCGAGCAGGGUCGAAAGACGGACUUAGUGAUCCGGUGGUUCCGCAUGGAAGGGCCAUCGCUCAACGGAUAAAAGCUACCCCGGGGAUAACAGGCUUAUCUCCCCCAAGAGUUCACAUCGACGGGGAGGUUUGGCACCUCGAUGUCGGCUCAUCGCA